rnacentral:misc_RNA from 1 species
AACAAAAUCUGAUGUCUUUAGUUUUGGAAUAAUAUUGUUAGAGAUUAUUACAGGGAAGAAGAGUAAUAGCUUUUGCCAAGAGGAUUCUUACCUAAGCAUGACUGGGGAAGUAAGUUAAAAGAUGUUGGAAUUUAUUUUAAUCAUCACUAAAUUUUGAAUUGAUUUCCUAUAUGGUAUAACACUGAAAUUUGUCACAAUUGAUUUCCAAACUAUUACAAUUUAUGUUAGAUAAUUCUUCUCAUGUAUGCUAACGUUAUGAAUACAUAGAUAUGGCAUUUAUGGAGAG